rnacentral:rRNA from 1 species
AGUGAACGCUGGCGGCAGGCCUAACACAUGCAAGUCGAGCGGCAGCGCGGGGGCAACCCUGGCGGCGAGCGGCGGACGGGUGAGGAAUUCGUCGGAAUCUGCCUUUUUGUGGGGGAUAACGUAGGGAAACUUACGCUAAUACCGCAUACGUCCUACGGGAGAAAGUGGGGGACCGCAAGGCCUCACGCAGAAAGAUGAGCCGACGACCGAUUAGCUAGUUGGUGGGGUAAAGGCCCACCAAGGCGACGAUCGGUAGCUGGUCUGAGAGGAUGAUCAGCCACACUGGGACUGAGACACGGCCCAGACUCCUACGGGAGGCAGCAGUGGGGAAUAGUGGACAAUGGGCGCAAGCCUGAUCCAGCCAUGCCGCGUGUGUGAAGAAGGCCUUCGGGUUGUAAAGCACUUUUGUCCGGAAAGAAAUCCCUGGAGCUAAUACCUUCGGGGGAUGACGGUACCGGAAGAAUAAGCACCGGCUAACUUCGUG